rnacentral:other from 1 species
AAAUCCCUGCUUGGUGCGUGUUUAUAGGAUAUAUUUUAACCAACAAAUCUAAUAAGGAAUCCUUUCUCUUUGUGUGGGUGUAGACCAUGUCAUAGCCUUUUUGGCUAUGUUAUUUAACAAGGGAACAAAAAAGCACAAAGGCGGAUAUCCACCUGUUUAAAUACAGGUUAGAAAUAGUCCGUAUCACGGCUAAAGUGGGGUAUAC